GUUGAAGGUUGGGUAACACUAACUGGAGGACCGAACCGACUAAUGUUGAAAAAUUAGCGGAUGACUUGUGGCUGGGGGUGAAAGGCCAAUCAAACCGGGAGAUAGCUGGUUCUCCCCGAAAGCUAUUUAGGUAGCGCCUCGUGAACUCAUCUUCGGGGGUAGAGCACUGUUUCGGCUAGGGGGUCAUCCCGACUUACCAACCCGAUGCAAACUACGAAUACCGAAGAAUGUUAUCACGGGAGACACACGGCGGGUGCUAACGUCCGUCGUGAAGAGGGAAACAACCCAGACCGCCAGCUAAGGUCCCAAAGUCAUGGUUAAGUGGGAAACGAUGUGGGAAGGCACAGACAGCCAGGAUGUUGGCUUAGAAGCAGCCAUCAUUUAAAGAAAGCGUAAUAGCUCACUGGUCGAGUCGGCCUGCGCGGAAGAUGUAACGGGGCUAAACCAUGCACCGAAGCUGCGGCAGCGACACUAUGUGUUGUUGGGUAGGGGAGCG
rnacentral:rRNA from 1 species